rnacentral:rRNA from 1 species
UACGUAGGGUGCGAGCGUUAAUCGGAAUUACUGGGCGUAAAGCGUGCGCAGGCGGUUCUCCAAGUCCGUUGUGAAAGCCCCGGGCUCAACCUGGGAAUGGCAGUGGAAACUAGGGAACUUGAAUCUGGCAGAGGGGGGUGGAAUUCCACGUGUAGCAGUGAAAUGCGUAGAGAUGUGGAGGAACACCGAUGGCGAAGGCAGCCCCCUGGGCUGAGAUUGACGCUCAGGCACGAAAGCGUGGGGAGCAAACAGG